AAUGAUUAUGACUGACCAAAGCCACAAGGAAGAAAACUCUCUACUGGACCAACAGGAAGAGGCUGUUUCAUGCGAGGAACGGAGCUGUUGUGUUACACAGGAGAAAUCGGAAUCCGAGCAGACCCCAAACAUUGCUCAGGCCUUGGCAGCGACUCCAAUAUACACACAGAGUAUGUCUAAACCUGUCUCUGUUAGUCAGCAGAUAAAUGCUUACAUUGAUAAUAUCGAUAAGGUACAUUAAAAAUGCUGAACAGUUUGUCCUUGUGCAAAUGUUCAGCACUGAAAUGCUAAUGCUGUUUACUCAGGUGGAUGAUGGGAAAUGGCCAGCACACAGGCCUAAAUUUACUCUUGGCUAUUCUGAACAGUUUGUUCUGUGGUAAAAAAAUAAAAUAAAACAUUGUAGAAAUAACAUGUAUGAAUAGAGUGGAAUAUGUCUAAUAGUGCUCACAGAUCUUGUUGGCAUAGGUGGAGUAGGCUAUGUAAAGCAAUUCAUUUAUAAUGAGUGUGUGCUUCAAUAGCUAUAGGAGUCGCCCUCGAACUCUGUUGGUACUGCUUGAAAUCUCUCCCGACUGAAGACCAAAACAUACCUCAGGUACAGUGAGAAACUCAUGUUUGUCCUUAAUGUGCAACUAUAUCAAAUAUAGGGCUUGCUGUACUAGAUUAAUGAUCUGGUUUGCCUGCCUUUUUAGAACUAAUUAGACUCUGGGGUUGGAUUUCAUUGAUCUGGCAUGCAUUCAGUAUCUUGUCGCAAACUUGCAACCAUUUCAGCUGGUUGUAAAUUAUGUAGCUUGAGUUAGCUUUGCAAAAUAUAACGUGACAUUGCCAUAUGUGUGCACUAGAUGGAGGAGUUCAGUAAAUGUUUUGUUUCAGUUGCAGGCGGACAGUGAGGAUCUAACACUGCCCCCGAGUGGUAAGCGUUUGCACUACCAGCGAGACCCCAGGACUCAUUUUGGAGUAGCCCACUCCUCUCGCUCUGUGUCUUUCCCCCAAUGGGACAGUGAUAGGCUGAGGGAGAUGAAGAGGGGAGAGGAGGAGGAGACCGUGGAAUAUGUCAGCUGUUGUCCCCACUGCCACCUUGGGCUGCCACGUGAUACAUUACACUGGCAUGAGGUAGUAGACACACCCCACAAGUUGCACUAUAUUGCAGAAAAUAUUUUUAACACACACACACACACACACACACACACACACACACACACACACACACAUUGUAUAUUUGUUUUUUUCCAAGUAAAUGAAUAUUUAAUAUAAUAAUUAAUCCUUAAUUAUAUAAAUGUAAUAAUCUAUCAUAAUUAGGUUCAUUUUUCAUGUAUCGUAAAAUAAAUCAUAAUGCAAUCAUUAUCAUAAAUGUAGUCUAAUAAUAAUGUAAAAUAUAUUAAUAAAAGAAAUAAAUGCUUAUAGUUUAUUAUAUUGUUAUAAUAUCAUAAAAAUAAUACAAUAAAUAAAUACACAUUUUUAUGUGCAUGUUGGUUAUAGGAGUGGGGGAUAUUAAUGAAACACCUAACAGUAUUGGAUCCAAGCAGCUCUUAAAGUGACAGCAGUCUAAUAUUCCUGCUGUCUGUCAUUCACGUUAAUCAAACAACAAAAGAAAGAAAAUCUAUCACUGCUGUUGACUAAAUCACUUUUGUAACCUUAAUAAGAAGAAAUAUAUAUUUCAUUUACAGUGAAAAACAUGCAGUAUUUUAUACAUUUGAUUACUUGACUUGGGGGAAGUCAUGGCCUAAUGGUUAGAGAGUUUGACUCCUAAUCCUAAGGUUGUGGGUUCGAGUCUCGGGCCGGCAAUACCACGACUGAGGUGCCCUUGAGCAAGGCACCGAACCCCCAACUGCUCCUCGGGCGCCGCAGCAUAAAUGGCUGCCCACUGCUCCGGGUGUGUGUUCACGGUGUGUGUGUGUUCACUGCUGUGUGUGUGCACUUUGGAUGGGUUAAAUGCAGAGCACAAAUUCUGAGUAUGGGUCACCAUACUUAGCUGUAUGUCACGUCACUUUCACUUUCACUUUACAGUGUAGCAUUCAUUAUUUAUGAUAUACUGUAUAUCAAUGAAAUAAAAUUACUCAUAUUGUGUUAUAAGAUUUUAGUCAUAUCGCUGACCCAGUUGAGUAUCAGAGACAACAUAAAAAUAGUAUGAUGCGUAAAAUAAAUUGAUUUACUUAAGAAUGGUAUAUUUUUCUGAAUUUGCUUUCACUGUUCUUUGAUUUCUGUCUUUUUUUGUGCAGGCAAAGUGUCUGUUGUUUGAUGGACAGAGAAACAGUUUGUCUUAAUAAAACUGAGCAACUGUCGCUCCGUCUGUUGGUGGCUUCCUUAAAUAAGCUACGAAAUUGUUGAUAUUUUUGUUCAGUCUUAUUUUACCUGUUCAAGUUUUAAUAUAUUUGUUCAGUAAUAUAUUGUAAACAAUUUAAGGACUGGACUGUUUGAAAUAAUAGAACUGCCUUUCAGUUAUACAGUAUUACUGUUCUUUGAGGUCAAGAACAGCACUCAAUUGUUUCACUGUUUCCAAGCGAAAUCCAAUUAUUUAUUUCAGCAUUACAUUACAUGCUUUUUCAUUUGUCAGCAGUGAGGAAAUGUAACCUUUCAAGAGUCAUGGAUUUCUUGCCUUUACUAUUCACUGUGGUGCUUAUUUUAUUCAUACUAUUAUAUGCUUGAAAUGAUGCUAAUGCAUUAUGUGCAAUGUUGUCAAAUAGGCUAGCAUUUACUAAGGAUGAAUCAGGAAUGACAAAAAUGUAUUGGAUUGCCUAAAGUUUGCUAGCAAUAUGAAAAACAUCAUUGUUAAAACUGUGUACACGUGUACAUUAAAAUUGUUUCAAA
rnacentral:lncRNA from 1 species